ensembl:ncRNA Y65B4BL.9 ncRNA
GAACUCCGUGAUUGGAGAAAAUUAAAGGAGGACUAACGGUUCGGACGAUUUUGAACGUAUAGACCCAAAAUGAGCUCAAAUGAAUGAAUUUCGUAAUGAAACUGCUCAAAAAUUUUUAUGGCGGUUCAA